rnacentral:ncRNA from 18 species
UCUAGGACGAGCGACUGGCGUCACAAGAUGGUAAACCAUCGGGGAGCUUCCACAAGGGUCCGAUCGCACGCCUGGGCCGGACAC